GACGAACGCUGGCGGCGUGCCUAAUACAUGCAAGUAGAACGCUGAAACUUGGUGCUUGCACCGAGCGGAUGAGUUGCGAACGGGUGAGUAACGCGUAGGUAACCUGCCUGGUAGCGGGGGAUAACUAUUGGAAACGAUAGCUAAUACCGCAUAAGAGUAGAUGUUGCAUGACAUUUGCUUAAAAGGUGCAAUUGCACCACUACCAGAUGGACCUGCGUUGUAUUAGCUAGUUGGUGGGGUAACGGCUCACCAAGGCGACGAUACAUAGCCGACCUGAGAGGGUGGUCGGCCACACUGAGACUGAGACACGGCACAGACGCCUACGGGAGGCAGCAAUAGGGAGUCUUCGGCAAUGGACGGGAGUCUGACCGAGCAACGCCGCGUGAGUGAGGAAGGUUUUCGGGUCGUGAAGCACUGUUUUAAGGGAGGAACGAGUGUGAGAGUGGAAAGUUCACACUGUGACGGUAUCUUACCAGAAAGGGACGGCUAACUACGUG
rnacentral:rRNA from 1 species